rnacentral:lncRNA from 1 species
GAAUGCACUGGUGAGGGGGAGACCGACGUCUUUGAACAGUUUGGCAUUGACUGUCCUCCAUGGCAGUAUUAAGCAACCACUCUCCCCAAGACCCUAGGACACUGCCAUGGAGUAGGGAUGAGUCCCACCCAGAAUGGGAUCUGCCAGCCUUCACUCCUCUCUGCCUCUAGGAAUCUCGCCUCAUUCUUCUCACAGGUGAUUUUUCUCCCAUCUAAUUUAGGGCACCCAAAUGUCUUCCUUCCUUCCUUUCCUUCCUUCUUUCUUUUCUUUCUUUUCUUCUUUCUUUUUUCUUCUUUCUUUCUUUCUUUUUCUUUCUUUCUUUCUUUCAUCUCCAUCUCUUUCUUUCUUUCUCUCUCCCUCUUUCUUUCUCUCCCUCUUUCUUUCUCUCUCCCUCUUCCUUUCUUUCUUUCUCUCCCUUUCUUUCUUUCUCUCUCCAUCUCCCUCUCCCUCUUUCUCUUUCCCUCUUUCUUCCUUUCAUUCUUUCUCUUUCUUUCUCUUUAUUUUCUUUCUUUCUUUCUCCUUCCUUCCCUCCCUCCCUCCUUUCUCUCUCUCUCUCUUUCUUUCUUUCUCUCCCUCUUUCUUUCUUCCUCUUUCUUUCUUUCUCUCUCCUCUCCCUCUUUCUCUCUCCCUCUCCCUCUUUCUUUCUUCCUUUCAUUCUUUCUCUUUCUUUCUUUCUCUUUAUUUUCUUUCUCCUUCCUUCCUUCCCUCUCUCCCUCCUUUCUCUCUCUCUCUUUCUUUCUUUCUCUCCCUCUUUCUUUCUUUCUUACAUUCUUUUUCUUUCUUUCUUUCUUUCUUUUUCUUUCUUUCUUUCUUUCUUUCUUUCUUUCUUUCUUUCAUCUCCAUCUCUUCCUUUCUUUCUUUCUCUCCUUCUUUCUUUCUUUCUCUCUCCCUCUCCCUCUUUCUUUCUUCCUUUCACUCUUUCUCUUUCUUUCUUUCUCUCUUUCUCUCUUUCUUUCUUUCUUUCUUUCUUUCUUUCUUUCUUUUUCUUUCCUUCUUUCUUUCCUUCUUUCUUGUCUCUUUAGGACCUCACCUGUGGCAUAUGGAAGUUCCCAUGGUAGGGGUCCAAUCAGAACCAUAGCUGCCAACCUAUGCCACAGCCAUAGCAAUGCUAGAUCCUUAACUCACUGAGUGAGGCCAGGGAUCAAAUCCGCAUCCUCAUGGAUACUACUCAGG